GUUAAAAGCAAAGAGUUCGGUUGGGGGAAGACGCAAACACACACCAUACGCGUCGUGACUCGGCCAUUAAACCUCUCCACUGUCUGCUGCUCUUGGAUCCCUCUGAACCUCUCUCCUCUCUCAUUUUUUAACCGACGCCAUAAAUAUACUUUCUUCAUCCCUUUUUUUGGUAUAAUAGGAAACGGUUUUUACUAAUCGAAUCCUUCUUCUUUUCAACUCCCACCAACAUCAUCGACGACAACCAACCUUUUUCUUUUCUUUUCUUUUCUU
rnacentral:misc_RNA from 1 species